rnacentral:rRNA from 1 species
GAUCCUGGCUCAGGAUGAACGCUGGCGGCGUGCUUAACACAUGCAAGUCGAGCGAAGCACUUAGGAAAGAUUCUUCGGAUGAUUUCCUAUUUGACUGAGCGGCGGACGGGUGAGUAACGCGUGGGUAACCUGCCUCAUACAGGGGGAUAACAGUUAGAAAUGACUGCUAAUACCGCAUAAGACCACAGCACCGCAUGGUGCAGGGGUAAAAACUCCGGUGGUAUGAGAUGGACCCNGU